rnacentral:rRNA from 1 species
CCAGACUCCUACGGGAGGCAGCAGUGGGGAAUAUUGCACAAUGGGGGAAACCCUGAUGCAGCAACGCCGCGUGGGUGAAGGAGCGUUUCGGCGCGUAAAGCCCUGUCAGCGGGGAAGAAGAAAGACGGUACCCGACCAAGAAGCCCCGGCUAACUACGUGCCAGCAGCCGCGGUAAUACGUAGGGGGCAAGCGUUAUCCGGAUUUACUGGGUGUAAAGGGAGCGUAGACGGCGAUGCAAGUCUGAAGUGAAAGGCGGGGGCCCAACCCCGGGACUGCUUUGGAAACUGCCAUGCUAGAGUGCUGGAGAGGUAAGCGGAAUUCCUAGUGUAGCGGUGAAAUGCGUAGAUAUUAGGAGGAACACCAGUGGCGAAGGCGGCUUACUGGACAGUAACUGACGUUGAGGCUCGAAAGCGUGGGGAGCAAACAGGAUUAGAUACCCGCGUAA